GCUUACGUGCUUCCGACUCAAGCUUACGGGCUUGAAAAUCGCUCACCAUCCGUUUGUUCUGCUCUGUGAGGCGAAGUUUUUCCUCUUCGGUUAAAAUUUUGGUUCUACUCGUUGCAAUAUCACCAAGAUUGAAGGCGUUACGUUGGGGUUCCAUCUUGCAGUGAUAAGCUGAAACUGAUCAAAUUUUUUUUCGGCUCAACAUUUCGGAUGUUGGAUGGCGCGGCGGAGCUCACAAUCGAACGCGAUAACGGACGAGAUGGAAAUGAACGAUCGAAAUAAUAAUUUCUAGGAAAGAGACUUGGCGUUGAUUCUCAAUUGGGAGUUUCGUUACAGCGGUACUGUUAUUUUGACAUUUUACUGAAAUGCGGAUACAGUCAAGUAACAAAUUCAACAACGCGGAGACAAAAUACAGGCGAAUUUCUAGUGAACGCAGCUAGUCUUUGUUGCUAUAUCGCGUCAAUGGAAGGAAAGCAGCAGCAACAGCAGAAAUGAAUAAAUAAAAAUGAAAGAAUAGCGGUGAUCUGAAUGGAAUGAAAACGGAGUUUGCAGCUUCGGUAAAGUAUUGUUUUUGGGAUCAGACCAAAGCGCUCAUCUCAACAUAAUCACCAACAACAACUUCAACACGAACGUAACCAAAUUGAAUACCCGUAGAAUAAAAAACUCAUCCAUCUCAACAGUCAUGAUUGCCCACGAAGUUAGGUGUGUCUGCUAGAGGGUACGAAAGGGACAAAAAUAAUUGAGCCGACUGCGAUUCCGAUGAAGAAAUUUGUAGCUGACGGGAGUUUACUGAUGACUGUAUAAUCGCUGCGAAUAGUAUACA